rnacentral:tRNA from 1 species
UAAAUAUCUAAAUUUAAGUAUAUCAUUUACAAUGAUAGGAUGUUGAAAAACUUUAUUUAAUUUAAUUUAUUAAUAUUAUUUAAUUUUUAAAAUAUUUAU